rnacentral:rRNA from 1 species
AGUCGAAACUAGUUAUACAUAAAAAAAGCAGUUAAAUACCUAAUCAAAUUAUAAUAAAAUUAUAAGAUAAAGAAUAACUACACUUACUAUUCAAAUAAAUGAAUAAUCAAAUCAAUUUUUCUUUUAUUAUUUUAACCUCUGAUUUUUCUUACCUUUUUAAGAUUAGCUUUUUUAAGGUUAAGAAUAUUUCUUUAGUUUAUUUAACCUAUUAAAGUUAGAUAUAAAAAUAAAAUACUCCUUACUACUAACCCCUACCCUUCCUCUUAUGGAGGAUAAAGUAGGCAAAAAAGUAGUCAAUAAAUAAAUUAAUAGAAAUAUAAAUAAUAAUCAAUAUUUUAUUAUUUAUAAUGUUUUACUUAUUUUAAAAUUAUAC